CCAAUAGCGUAUAUUAAAGUUGUUGCAGUUAAAAAGCUCGUAGUUGAAUUUCGGGAUCAGUAGGUCGGUCGUGCCACUGGUAUGAACUGGUCUCACUGGUUCCUCCCUCUUGACGAACUGCAAUGCUAUUAAUUUAGUGUUGUAGGAAAUCAGGACUGUUACUUUGAAAAAAUUAGAGUGUUUAAAGCAGGCUUUGGCUUGAAUACAUUAGCAUGGAAUAAUGAAAUAGGACGUUCGAUCCUAUUUUGUUGGCUUCUAGGAUUGACGUAAUGAUUAAUAGGGACAGUUGGGGGCAUUAGUAUUCAAUUGUCAGAGGUGAAAUUCUUGGAUUUAUUGAAGACUAACUACUGCGAAAGCAUUUGCCAAGGAUGUUUUCAUUAAUCAAGAACGAAAGUUAGGGGAUCGAAGACGAUCAGAUACCGUCGUAGUCUUAACCAUAAACUAUGCCGACUAGGGAUCGGACGAAGUUAAUUUAUAAUGACGCGUUCGGCACCUUACG
rnacentral:misc_RNA from 1 species